GCGGGCGUGGCGGAAUGGCAGACGCGCCAGACUUAGGAUCUGGUGGGGGAGAACCCCGUGGAGGUUCAAGUCCUCUCGCCCGCACCA
rnacentral:tRNA from 1 species